rnacentral:rRNA from 1 species
AGCAGCCGCGGUAAUUCCAGCUCCAAUAGCGUAUAUUAAAGUUGUUGCAGUUAAAAAGCUCGUAGUUGAAUUUCGGGAUCAAUACGUCGGUCGUGCCUCCGGUAUGUACUGGUGUUAUUGAUUCCUCCCUUCUGAUGAACCAUGAUGUCAUUAAUUUGGUGUUGUGGGAAGUCAGGACUGUUACUUUGAAAAAAUUAGAGUGUUUAAAGCAGGCCUACGCUUGAAUACAUUAGCAUGGAAUAAUGAAAUAGGACGUUCGAACCUAUUUUGUUGGUUUUUAGGAUCAACGUAAUGAUUAAUAGGGAUAGUUGGGGGCAUUAGUAUUCAAUUGUCAGAGGUGAAAUUCUUGGAUUUAUUGAAGACUAACUACUGCGAAAGCAUUUGCCAAGGAUGUUUUCAUUAAUCAAGAACGAAAGUUAGGGAUCGAAGACGAUCAGAUACCGUCGUAGUCUUAACCAUAAACUAUGCCAUAGGGAUCGGAUGAUGUUAAUUUUUAANGUACUCAUUCGGCGCCUUACGG